AAAGUUUUAGUAUAAUUUUAGUAUUUCUCAUUGUCGAUGAGAUGGUUGAUAACUUUA
rnacentral:tRNA from 1 species